UUAGACUUCCCCAGGGCUCUGAGAAGAUGUGUGUAUUGAAGUCACUGUCAACAACUUGGGAGGAAGGGAUAAUAUGUUGAUGACACACAGAUUAAAGAUUCAAAGUUACCUCAACAAGCUGAAUCAAAAGGCUAAACAACAACAACAACAAAAACAUGAAAAAAAGAUGAAUGGCAGAAAAAAUACUAGUUACAUAACACGAGUUUGAGAGAAUACCAGGGUGGACAGGGCUGCCAUAACAAAUUACCACAAACUUGGUGCCUUAAAACAACAGAAAUUUAUUUUCUCGCAGUUCUGGAGCCCAGAAGCCCAAAUUCAGGUAUUUGCUAGGGGCAUGCUCUCUCUAAGAUUCUAGGGAAGUAUCCCUCUGUGCCUUCCUAGCUUCUGGUAGUGACCGGAAAUCCUCAGUGUUCCUUGCCUGCAACUGCAGCACUCCAGUCUCUGCCUGUGUCAUCACAGGCCUGCUAGUAAGGACACCAGUCACUGGAUUUGGGGCCCACCCUCUUCCAUUAUGGACUCAACUUGAUCACACUUGCAAAGGUCCUGUUUCCAAAUAAGGUCGCAUUCACAGGCCCUGGGGGGUUAGGAUGUAACCAUCUCUUUUGGGGGGGUCAUGAUUCUACCAACAGCACCUUUUCACCACCCCUCCUCGGGAGAUUUAAUAAGUCUGGAUACAUCCUCAAUUUGAUGUUUCCUUGGUGUCAUUAAACAGGUAUCUGCCUGCUGAUAUUUGUCAGCAAGGCCUUUGUUUGCCUGAGGGUCAUCCUGGGGUUUUGUGAGCCUGAAUCUUUAGGAGAAAAAAGAAAAGAAUAGUCUGAGCUUUGGGAUAUGUUA